GCGAUGUGCUCCGCCAGAAAGGAGGGAGUUGUGUUACUAAUGGGACGAAGGGGAACAGCGCUGCAGAGAGUUAGCAGCCUCCUCCAGAACAGUUACGAGAGAAAGAGGAGUUGGGAUGGGUGUUGGAUUAGCCAGCCAACCAUUUCUGCAUCGGCCUCAUUCCCAGACAGGCCAAGGGCUGGUGACCUUUGUAGAGACUGAGAGAGCUUCAGCGGCACCACCCUCCGAGCCCCUUAGUGAAAGGGCCCAACAUCUUUGCAACUACCCCAGUCAGACUCCAGUGUCAGAGAAGCGUGACUCGAGACACAUCAUUAGUCCUGCAGCGCCCCCUGCUGAUAAGAAUCAUGAAAGUGAUGCAAUUCUUAUAGCAGCCUCAGUCCCUCAUCCCAAGAACCUCAUAUCCUACCUACCACAUGAGGCAACUGAAGGGAAAAGACCAGCUCCCACUCUGGCUCGGCGGCUUGUCCUUGAGAAAGUUCCUCAACCUCCUGAGGCUUGUGUUCUGAAGCUUAAAUGGAAAUUGUCAUCAGCGCUGUUGAGAGAAUGAAAUCGGAAUGUGUCUGAAAAAGACUUUAUAAAUCAGAACGUUACAUAAAUGGUUAUUUUUCUGCCUGAGAGAGGUAUUUACAAUGUGUUUUUUCUCUUAUAAAAGGAAUGUGAAUUCUUUGUGGACAUUUUGAAAAAUACAUUUGAAUAAAAAAUAAAUAAGAAUCACUCGGAGUUAACUGUUAUGCACAUUUGGUAUUUUCCCCAGGUCUUUUUUUCCCAUCUGUAUGGAAAUAUGCCUUUGUUAAAAGGGAUGAUGAAGAUCUUUAUGGCCCAAGGGUGUUGCCCUUGCCCCUCC
rnacentral:lncRNA from 1 species